rnacentral:rRNA from 1 species
CCGGCGAUGUCCGAAUGGGGAAACCCAGUGUGAUUCGUCACACUAUCGUUAACUGAAUACAUAGGUUAACGAGGCGAACCGGGGGAACUGAAACAUCUAAGUACCCCGAGGAAAAGAAAUCAACCGAGAUUCCCCCAGUAGCGGCGAGCGAACGGGGAGCAGCCCAGAGUCUGAAUCAGCUUGUGUGUUAGUGGAACGGUCUGGAAAGUCCGACGGUACAGGGUGAUAGUCCCGUACACCAAAAUGCACAGGCUGUGAACUCGAAGAGUAGGGCGGGACACGUGGUAUCCUGUCUGAAUAUGGGGGGACCAUCCUCCAAGGCUAAAUACUCCUGACUGACCGAUAGUGAACCAGUACCGUGAGGGAAAGGCGAAAAGAACCCCGGCGAGGGGAGUGAAAAAGAACCUGAAACCGUGUACGUACAAGCAGUGGGAGCACCUUCGGGUGUGACUGCGUACCUUUUGUAUAAUGGGUCAGCGACUUAUAUUCUGUAGCAAGGUUAACCGUAUAGGGGAGCCGCAGGGAAACCGAGUCUUAACUGGGCGUUAAGUUGCAGGGUAUAGACCCGAAACCCGGUGAUCUAGCCAUGGGCAGGUUGAAGGUUGGGUAACACUAACUGGAGGACCGAACCGACUAAUGUUGAAAAAUUAGCGGAUGACUUGUGGCUGGGGGUGAAAGGCCAAUCAAACCGGGAGAUAGCUGGUUCUCCCCGAAAGCUAUUUAGGUAGCGCCUCGUGAAUUCAUCUUCGGGGGUAGAGCACUGUUUCGGCUAGGGGGUCAUCCCGACUUACCAACCCGAUGCAAACUACGAAUACCGAAGAAUGUUAUCACGGGAGACACACGGCGGGUGCUAACGUCCGUCGUGAAGAGGGAAACAACCCAGACCGCCAGCUAAGGUCCCAAAGUCAUGGUUAAGUGGGAAACGAUGUGGGAAGGCACAGACAGCCAGGAUGUUGGCUUAGAAGCAGCCAUCAUUUAAAGAAAGCGUAAUAGCUCACUGGUCGAGUCGGCCUGCGCGGAAGAUGUAACGGGGCUAAACCAUGCACCGAAGCUGCGGCAGCGACACUAUGUGUUGUUGGGUAGGGGAGCGUUCUGUAAGCCUGCGAAGGUGACCUGUGAGGGUUGCUGGAGGUAUCAGAAGUGCGAAUGCUGACAUAAGUAACGAUAAAGCGGGUGAAAAGCCCGCUCGCCGGAAGACCAAGGGUUCCUGUCCAACGUUAAUCGGGGCAGGGUGAGUCGACCCCUAAGGCGAGGCCGAAAGGCGUAGUCGAUGGGAAACAGGUUAAUAUUCCUGUACUUGGUGUUACUGCGAAGGGGGGACGGAGAAGGCUAUGUUAGCCGGGCGACGGUUGUCCCGGUUUAAGCAUGUAGGCUGGUUAUCCAGGCAAAUCCGGAUAAUCAAGGCUGAGGUGUGAUGACGAGGCACUACGGUGCUGAAGUAACAAAUGCCCUGCUUCCAGGAAAAGCCUCUAAGCAUCAGGUAACA